GCCAGAUGCGGUGGUGAGCACCUGCAGUAUCAGCUACUCUGGAGGGUGAGGCUGGAAGAUUGCUUGAGCCCAGGAGUACUGGGCUGUAUAGCACUACGCUGAUUGGGUGUCUGCACUGAAUUUAACAUCAAUAUGAUGACCUCCCAGGGACCUCCAGGUUGCCUAAGGAGUGGUGAACUGGCUGAGGUCAGAAAUGGAACAGGUCAAAACUCCCCUGCUGAUCAGUAGUGAAAUCGCACCUAUGAAUAGCCACUGCACUCCAGCCUGGGCAACAUAGCCAGACAACGUCACU
rfam:Otolemur garnettii contig032218, whole genome shotgun sequence.